GACGUAGGAGGCGAGCGUUAUCCGGAUUCACUGGGCGUAAAGCGCAUGUAGGCGGUUGCACAAGUCCGUUGUUAAAGCCCCUGGCUCAACUGGGGGAGGUCAAUGGAGACUGUGCGACUUGAGGGCAAUAGAGGCACGUGGAACUCCCGGUGUAGCGGUGGAAUGCGUAGAGAUCGGGAAGAACACCAGUGGCGAAGGCAGAUCUCUGGGCCGUAACUGACGCUGAGGAGCGAAAGCGUGGGGAGCGAACAGG
rnacentral:rRNA from 1 species